rnacentral:rRNA from 1 species
CCUACGGGUGGCAGCAGUGGGGAAUAUUGGACAAUGGGCGAAAGCCUGAUCCAGCCAUGCCGCGUGUGUGAAGAAGGCCUUCGGGUUGUAAAGCACUUUCAGUGGGGAAGAAAGCCUUGGGGCUAAUACCCUCGAGGAAGGACAUCACCCACAGAAGAAGCACCGGCUAACUCCGUGCCAGCAGCCGCGGUAAUACGGAGGGUGCGAGCGUUAAUCGGAAUUACUGGGCGUAAAGCGCGCGUAGGCGGUCUGAUAAGCCGGUUGUGAAAGCCCCGGGCUCAACCUGGGAACGGCAUCCGGAGCUGUCAGGCUGGAGUGCAGGAGCGGACAGUGGAAAUCCCGGUGUGGCGGCGCAAUGAGUCGAGAACGGGAGGCAUACCAGUGGCGAAGGCGACCGCAUGGACUGAUACUGACGCUGAGCUGCGACAGCUUUGGACGCGAGCAGGAUGAGAUACACAUGUAGUC